CGGACUGGCGGCGUGCUAUACAUGCAAGUCGAGCGGACCGACGGGAGCUUGCUCCCUUAGGUCAGCGGCGGACGGGUGAGUAACACGUGGGUAACCUGCCUGUAAGACUGGGAUAACUCCGGGAAACCGGGGCUAAUACCGGAUGCUUGAUUGAACCGCAUGGUUCAAUCAUAAAAGGUGGCUUUUAGCUACCACUUACAGAUGGACCCGCGGCGCAUUAGCUAGUUGGUGAGGUAACGGCUCACCAAGGCGACGAUGCGUAGCCGACCUGAGAGGGUGAUCGGCCACACUGGGACUGAGACACGGCCCAGACUCCUACGGGAGGCAGCAGUAGGGAAUCUUCCGCAAUGGACGAAAGUCUGACGGAGCAACGCCGCGUGAGUGAUGAAGGUUUUCGGAUCGUAAAACUCUGUUGUUAGGGAAGAACAAGUACCGUUCGAAUAGGGCGGUACCUUGACGGUACCUAACCAGAAAGCCACGGCUAACUACGUGCCAGCAGCCGCGGUAAUACGUAGGUGGCAAGCGUUGUCCGGAAUUAUUGGGCGUAAAGCGCGCGCAGGCGGUUUCUUAAGUCUGAUGUGAAAGCCCCCGGCUCAACCGGGGAGGGUCAUUGGAAACUGGGGAACUUGAGUGCAGAAGAGGAGAGUGGAAUUCCACGUGUAGCGGUGAAAUGCGUAGAGAUGUGGAGGAACACCAGUGGCGAAGGCGACUCUCUGGUCUGUAACUGACGCUGAGGCGCG
rnacentral:rRNA from 1 species